rnacentral:ribozyme from 14 species
CAUACACUGAAUGAAAGAAGGCAAGGUUUCAACCUCUAAUAAAAAAAAAAGGAAAAAGAAGUGACACUUUCAUUGUGUUUCUCCUC